GGAGACUGCAGUGCGUAAUGAUAGCUUAAACUUGGGAAAUGUCCCUGUUCAGAGACAGGGUCAGGGACAUUUCACAGAAGAUCCGAUUACUCUACAGCUGCUUUCCCUGGUGGACCUGAGGAGGCAUGCCCCUGAGCCAGGACUUUAAGGGAGAGGGUAGAACAACCUAGAAGCUCAGGAGGGAUAUGGUCCCUGUUUGCCUAUUUUCAUCCACAACUCUGCCAGAGACGAAAGAAGUGUUUGAAACAAUUCACCCAGAUUUCCAUCUGUAAUCAUCAAGAAUGAAUUGAUUAAAUUCCUUAAGAAAUUUACUUCAAGUCAUGAUUUUGACGGCCUAGUGCUAUCUGGAAAAGGGACAGCAGCAGCCUGGAGCAGUUUUCUAGCUAACAAGAAUUUUGUUAGCUAUGUGGCCACCUAGUGGCUCUUCCAUGAAUGUCACUGAUGGAUUGUCAGGUACACAGACAAUUACCCACUAAUAAAGAAGUUAUUAUCUUUCUUGGAA
rnacentral:antisense_RNA from 1 species